AGUCCCUCAAUUAUACACUAUUCACUUCGGGCAGCUUGAAAUCUGAUAUCUUUCGCCGGAGCUCCCUGAAUGUCCGUUUGAGCUCAAACUUGACAGUCAUAUUUGGUUUUACGCACUGAGUAAGAAUAUAUUUUAAGUUUUUAGUUUCCACCCCAUUUGGUCACCGAAAACUUUACCGAACUGUAAUCUUUAUCAGAUAACUCUCGGAUUUUAUUUCUCACUCUACGGAUGUCAGAAAAAUAUGAAACUUUAAAUCUAGCCUCAUAAAAAUAUUUUUGACUUAUCCUCCAAUUAUCAUAAUUUUCUCAGACUGUGCAUUUUCUACUAAUUUAUUUGUCCCGUUUCCAACAGAAAAUUCUAGAUCUUCUGUUUUCAUUCCGAUUUCAGUACAAGUCACUUCUGACUUAUAUUUUACUUCUAUAAAUCCAAUAAAAAUAGUUUCUCACACUAUUUUUAUUUAUUUAUUUUUUUACACCAAAAUCUGGUAUGUUACAUUCUCCACCCCUUAAAAGAAUUUCGUCCGCGAAAUUCAAACCACGCCUUAAUUCAGCUCAGCGAGCAAUUA
rnacentral:lncRNA from 1 species